AACGAACGCUGGCGGCAUGCCUAACACAUGCAAGUCGAACGAGACCUUCGGGUCUAGUGGCGCACGUGUGCGUAACGCGUGGGAAUCUGCCCUUGGGUUCGGGAUAACAGUUGGAAACGACUGCUAAUACCGGAUGAUGUCUUCGGACCAAAGAUUUAUCGCCCAGGGAUGAGCCCGCGUCGGAUUAGCUAGUUGGUGAGGUAAAGGCUCACCAAGGCGACGAUCCGUAGCUGGUCUGAGAGGAUGAUCAGCCACACUGGGACUGAGACACGGCCCAGACUCCUACGGGAGGCAGCAGUGGGGAAUAUUGGACAAUGGGCGAAAGCCUGAUCCAGCAGUGCCGCGUGAGUGAUGAAGGCCUUAGGGUUGUAAAGCUCUUUUACCCUGGAUGAUAAUGACAGUACCGGGAGAAUAAGCCCCGGCUAACUCCGUGCCAGCCGCCGCGGUAAUAC
rnacentral:rRNA from 1 species